rnacentral:rRNA from 1 species
GACGAACGCUGGCGGCGUGCUUAACACAUGCAAGUCGAGCGGUAAGGCCCUUUCGGGGGUACACGAGCGGCGAACGGGUGAGUAACACGUGGGUGACCUGCCCUCAGCUCUGGGAUAAGCCUGGGAAACCGGGUCUAAUACUGGAUAUGACUCCAUGACGCAUGGUUAGUGGGGGUGGAAAGCCUUGUGCGGCUGAGGAUGGGCCCGCGGCCUAUCAGCUUGUUGGUGGGGUGAUGGCCUACCAAGGCGACGACGGGUAGCCGGCCUGAGAGGGCGACCGGCCACACUGGGACUGAGACACGGCCCAGACUCCUACGGGAGGCAGCAGUGGGGAAUCUUGCGCAAUGGGCGAAAGCCUGACGCAGCGACGCCGCGUGAGGGA